GGAUUGCCCCAGUAACGGCGAGUGAAGCGGCAACAGCCCAAAUUUGAAAUCCGGCUCCCCGCGGGCCCGAGUUGUAAUUUGCAGAGGAUGCUUUUGGCAAGGUGCCCUCCGAGUCCCCUGGAACGGGGCGCCGCAGAGGGUGAGAGCCCCGUACGGUCCGGCACCGCGCCUGCCUGUAAAGCUCCCUCGACGAGUCGAGUAGUUUGGGAAUGCUGCUCAAAACGGGAGGUAAACUCCUUCUAAGGCUAAAUACCGGCCAGAGACCGAUAGCGCACAAGUAGAGUGAUCGAAAGAUGAAAAGCACUUUGGAAAGAGAGUUAAACAGCACGUGAAAUUGUUGAAAGGGAAGCGCUUGCGGCCAGACUUGCGGCGGGCGGCUCAGCAGCGCCUCGUGCGCUGUGCACUCUGCCCGCCACAGGCCAGCAUCGGUUCCCGUCGGGGGACAAGUGC
rnacentral:rRNA from 1 species